ACGUGUAGACCGGGUUCACAAAAACACUGAACCGGUUCUAACCUCAGUCUCCCCUCUCCCCGCGCCCUCAAUCCCCUCUCAAAAUCGUAAGCGUUCUUCGACGAAAGUCCCAAAUUGCUUCUCUGUGAAAUCCUCAAUUCCCUCACGUUUUGUAUCCCUUUCAACUUCUUCAAUGUGAAUCCCUCAAGUUUCCUCAUAAAACAAUGUUACCUUCUUCUUCUCUAUGAAUCGCAAAAAACCCCCAACCUGAUUUUGAAAACCCCAAAUUCUGUCUUCUGCUUCUCAAUCGUAGAAUAUGAUUUUGAUUUUGAGACCUUUUUCUUCUUCUUCUUCUCUGUGAUUUCUCUCAGUCCCCCACGUGCAUUUUGAUUUCCCCCCCUCCCCCAUUUGCUUACACUGUGAUUUUUCGCCGAUGUGAUUUCUCCCAUCUCAAUCCCACGACCUUUCAUCUCUGUCCUGCGAUGGUGUGAGUCCGAUCCUCCCCUCCACUCUUCAGCAACCUUCAUCCCUCUUCUCUUCGAAAUCUUCAUCUCUUCAUCCCUCUUCUCUUUGAAACCUUCAUCUCCCCCUCUUCUCUUCAACGACCUUCAUCUCCCCCUCAUCUCUAUAGCUCACCCUCCAUUCCUUUGCAUUUCCCCCAAAAUGAAAUGUUACAUGGCCUCAGAGAAGGAGAUUGGAGAAGAUAAAGGUGGAGACUUUGGGGGAUUCUGGAAGAGAGAGGUCGAAGGUGAGAGAGAAGAAGUGAAGUAGAUGAGAAGUUAGGUAGGGCUCCAUUACACCAUUUACGGAUUUGUUCCCAACAGAAAUCUAACAUGUAACAUCUACUCUCAGCGACCUGCGAUAGAGAUCUUGAAGGGCAUCGCAGGGUGGAUCUAUGGAAGAGAUUUGCCGGUCAUGCAGUAAGGGCAGCACACUAGCAUUUGGAAGGUAGAACACGUCCCUACGUCCAGAUCUGCAUCUGCCAUGGGAUAGGAAUGGAAUGGAAGUUUUGAUGCAAACAAGAAAAUGAGAGCAAACUAAUAGUGUGGGGAGUGUCAAGAAGACUGCUCUACAAGCUAAUCUAUGUUCUUUCUGCUUUACAAGAAUUGCAUGUAUUACAAGAAGACUGCUAUACAAGCUACACAAGCUCUGCAAGAAUUGCAUGUAUUACAAGAAGACUACUAUACAAGCUACACAAGCUCUGCAAGAAUUGCAUGUAUUACAAGAAGACUCAUCAAAAGAAUUUCAUGUUUUCUGCAAUGUUCUUUCCAGCUCUACAAAACUCGGGAGGAGAAUUGCAUAUAUUACAAGAAGACUCCUCAAAGAAUUGCAUGCCCUGCCCUUGGAUUAUACCCUUGAGGAUGCUUAACAUAUGACUGUUGCCUUUGAUUUUUAUCUGAUCUGAAUCCAAGGUUACUUUUGUAAUAGAAAUCUAAACUUACCUUCUUGUUCUUGUUUCUUUGGUUAACCAAUGACUUGGGGAGAUCGUUAA